rnacentral:rRNA from 1 species
GACGAACGCUGGCGGCGUGCCUAAUACAUGCAAGUAGAACGCACAGUUUAUACCGUAGCUUGCUCCACCAUAGACUGUGAGUUGCGAACGGGUGAGUAACGCGUAGGUAACCUGCCUGGUAGCGGGGGAUAACUAUUGGAAACGAUAGCUAAUACCGCAUAAUAUUAAUUAUUGCAUGAUAAUUAAUUGAAAGGUGCAAUUGCACCACUACCAGAUGGACCUGCGUUGUAUUAGCUAGUAGGUGAGGUAACGGCUCACCUAGGCGACGAUACAUAGCCGACCCUGAGGGGUGAUCGGGCAACCUGGGGAUGGGACCAGGGCCCGACUCCUACCGGAGGCAGCAGUAGGGAAUCUUCGGCAAUUGACGAAAGUCUGACCCAGCAACGCCGCGGGAGUGAAGAAGGUUUUCGGAUCGUAAAGCUCUGUUGUAAGAGAAGAACGGGUGUGAGAGUGGAAAGUUCACACUGUGACGGUAUCUUACCAGAAAGGGACGGCUAACUACGUG